CUCGGGAGCGCUGACUGGCUGGGAGGAGGUGUCAGUCCUGCCGGCGCUCGGGUACCGAUUGGCAGCCGCGGGCCAGGCAGCAGGUAUCUACUUACUGCACCUAGCACAUGGCUCCAUGACACAUGGCUCCAGCCUUCCCCUUGAGCAAAGAAGGAAAAUCUGGGAAUGGCAGUGCUGGCCUUCAGCCGAGGAAGGCAGCGCAGCUCCGUGAGGAUAAGGAGGCAUUUGUGCCCAUGGAGAUGGCCUCUCUUGUCCAUUCAGUCACAUGUGAUUCAGAUGACCUUGGAAAAGUCACCUGAAAAACAAAUAAAUUACUCUCUGCACGUCAUAGUGGAUCUAGAGCCUGAAUCUCUAAGAUACCUCUGGAGAUACUGACUACUAUCAUGUCAAUGAGAACUGAAGGUACUCAGAAUUAGUUAAAACUUCAUAGAAUUGAUCCUGUGGGUCUUGAUUGAAAGCCCAUUAAAGCCCAGUGGAAGGUCUGACCAUCUUCACUGGGCUCUUGAUCACUUUGCUUGAAAGGAGCCCAUAGAUACAGGAUUACAAAACCAGCCAAAGAAAGGACCUUAACACAGCUUUGUCAUUGUCAAAGUCCUGUGCAGUGAUUUCUCUACAUUCCAGUGUGAAAAAAGAUCCCAAAAGGAACUACCCAUCCCAACCAUGUCUCUUGCUUGUGCAGGCUUUUUCUGCUUGUCUUUAGGGAUUGCACUUCAAACUGGAAAUACUCUCUACCUAAGGCUUCUGUACCAGUCCCCAGUGCCUGGGGAUUUGAUGUAAUUCAGAACUGACUUGUGCAAGCUGAGCCUGCAUGAUCUCUUCCUGGGAUCAGCUGGGGUUCAGAACCACUCACGUUAUGCUAGUGAGCCAUAGCCUGAGAUCACCACCCACACAGCCUGAGAAAGAAUGAGGAUGUGUUUAUACAUAGUAUGUUAUUGCCAGCAUGUUUUGAGGUAAAUAUUGACUCACUCUACUUAGUUGGAUAUUAGGGAUUAGUUUUUUUUCUAUUUCUUUUGUUUUCCUUGUUUGAAGGUUUUUGGUUUACUUUGGUUUCUCUCUUUUUUUUAAGGAACUUUCUGGAUUCUCUAAUUUGCAAAAGAAUUACUGAAGUAAAAAUGAAUUCAUUAAGUUAUCCUUAACUAGCUGUAAUUUUCACUCCCUGUCUGGCUUG